rnacentral:rRNA from 1 species
UACAGAGGUCUCAAGCGUUGUUCGGAUUCAUUGGGCGUAAAGGGUGCGUAGGCGGCGCGGUAAGUCGGGUGUGAAAUCUUGGAGCUUAACUCCGAAACUGCAUUCGAUACUGCCGUGCUUGAGGACUGGAGAGGAGACUGGAAUUUACGGUGUAGCGGUGAAAUGCGUAGAUAUCGUAAGGAAGACCAGUGGCGAAGGCGGGUCUCUGGACAGUUCCUGACGCUGAGGCACGAAGGCCAGGGAAGCAAACGGG